UCCUACGGGGGGCUGCAGUGGCGAAUAUUGGACAAUGGGGGAAAGCCUGAUCCAGCCAUGCCGCGUGUGUGAAGAAGGUCUUCGGAUUGUAAAGCACUUUAAGUUGGGAGGAAGGGCAUUUACUUAAUACGUAAGUGUUUUGACGUUACCGACAGAAUAAGCACCGGCUAACUCUGUGCCAGCAGCCGCGGUAAUACAGAGGGUGCAAGCGUUAAUCGGAAUUACUGGGCGUAAAGCGCGCGUAGGUGGUUUGUUAAGUUGGAUGUGAAAUCCCCGGGCUCAACCUGGGAACUGCAUUCAAAACUGACAAGCUAGAGUAUGGUAGAGGGUGGUGGAAUUUCCUGUGUAGCGGUGAAAUGCGUAGAUAUAGGAAGGAACACCAGUGGCGAAGGCGACCACCUGGACUGAUACUGACACUG
rnacentral:rRNA from 1 species